rnacentral:rRNA from 1 species
AUUGAACGCUGACGGCAUGCUUUACACAUGCAAGUCGAACGGCAGCGCGGGGCAACCUGGCGGCGAGUGGCGAACGGGUGAGUAAUAUAUCGGAACGUACCCAGAAGUGGGGGAUAACGUAGCGAAAGUUACGCUAAUACCGCAUACGAUCUACGGAUGAAAGUGGGGGACCUUCGGGCCUCAUGCUUGUGGAGCGGCCGAUAUCUGAUUAGCUAGUUGGUAGGGUAAAGGCCUACCAAGGCGACGAUCAGUAGCUGGUCUGAGAGGACGACCAGCAACACUGGGACUGAGACACGGCCCAGACUCCUACGGGAGGCAGCAGUGGGGAAUUUUGGACAAUGGGCGCAAGCCUGAUCCAGCAAUGCCGCGUGAGUGAAGAAGGCCUUCGGGUUGUAAAGCUCUUUUGUCAGGGAAGAAACGGGACUGGAUAAUACCUGGUCCUAAUGACGGUACCUGAAGAAUAAGCACCGGCUAACUACGUGCCAGCAGCCGCGGUAA